AGCGCAGCUGAUCACCAUUCCGCGUGCAGGACGAAGGCCCUCGGGUUGUAAACUGCUUUUGUACGGAACGAAAAGCCUUGGGCCAAUACCCCAGGGUCAUGACGGUACCGUAAGAAUAAGCACCGGCUAACUACGUGCCAGCAGCCGCGGUAAUACGUAGGGUGCAAGCGUUAAUCGGAAUUACUGGGCGUAAAGCGUGCGCAGGCGGUCUUGUAAGACAGAGGUGAAAUCCCCGGGCUUAACCUGGGAACUGCCUUUGUGACUGCAAGGCUUGAGUGCGGCAGAGGGGGAUGGAAUUCCGCGUGUAGCAGUGAAAUGCGUAGAUAUGCGGAGGAACACCGAUGGCGAAGGCAAUCCCCUGGGCCUGUACUGACGCUCAUGCACGAAAGCGUGGGGAGCAAACAGGAUUAGAUACCCUGGUAGUCCACGCCCUAAACGAUGUCAACUGGUUGUUGGACGGCUUGCUGUUCAGUAACGAAGCUAACGCGUGAAGUUGACCGCCUGGGGAGUACGGACGCAAGGUUGAAACUCCAAGGAAUUGACGGGGACCCGAACAAGCGGUGGAUGAUGUGGUUAAUUCGAUGCCAAAGCGAAAAACUUACCUACCCUUGACAUGCCAGGAAUUGCCAGAGAUGGG
rnacentral:rRNA from 1 species